GAUGAAGAACGCAGCGAAAUGCGAUACGUAAUGUGAAUUGCAGAAUUCAGUGAAUCAUCGAGUCUUUGAACGCACAUUGCGCCCCCUGGUACUCCGGGGGGCAUGCCUGUCCGAGCGUCAUUGCUGCCCUCAAGCACGGCUUGUGUGUUGGGCCUCCGUCCUCCUCCCGGGGGACGGGCCCGAAAGGCAGCGGCGGCACCGCGUCCGGUCCUCGAGCGUAUGGAGCUUCGUCACCCGCUCUUGUAGGCCCGGCCGGCGCUUGCCGACACAUCAAUCUUUUUUCCAGGUUGACCUCGGAUCAGGUAGGGAUACCCGCUGAACUUAAGCAUAUCAAUAAGCGGAGGA
rnacentral:misc_RNA from 1 species